CGGGGAGUAGUUUAACGGUAGAAUGUACGGCUGGGGGUCGUACGGCAGGAGUUCAAUUCUCCUCUCCCCGA
rnacentral:tRNA from 1 species